GGGCGCAAGCCUGAUCCAGCCAUGCCGCGUGAGUGAUGAAGGCCUUAGGGUUGUAAAGCUCUUUCACCGGAGAAGAUAAUGACGGUAUCCGGAGAAGAAGCCCCGGCUAACUUCGUGCCAGCAGCCGCGGUAAUACGAAGGGGGCUAGCGUUGUUCGGAAUUACUGGGCGUAAAGCGCACGUAGGCGGAUAUUUAAGUCAGGGGUGAAAUCCCAGAGCUCAACUCUGGAACUGCCUUUGAUACUGGGUAUCUUGAGUAUGGAAGAGGUAAGUGGAAUUCCGAGUGUAGAGGUGAAAUUCGUAGAUAUUCGGAGGAACACCAGUGGCGAAGGCGGCUUACUGGUCCAUUACUGACGCUGAGGUGCGAAAGCGUGGGGAGCAAACAGGAUUAGA
rnacentral:rRNA from 1 species